rnacentral:rRNA from 1 species
GUGGGGAAUAUUGGACAAUGGGCGAAAGCCUGAUCCAGCCAUGCCGCGUGUGUGAAGAAGGUCUUCGGAUUGUAAAGCACUUUAAGUUGGGCGGAAGGGUAGUAACCUAAUACGUUGCUACUUUGACGUUACCGACAGAAUAAGCACCGGCUAACUUCGUGCCAGCAGCCGCGGUAAUACGAAGGGUGCAAGCGUUAAUCGGAAUUACUGGGCGUAAAGCGCGCGUAGGUGGUUUUGUAAGUUGGAGGUGAAAUCCCCGGGCUCAACCUGGGAAGUGCCUCCAAAACUGCAUGACUAGAGUACGGUAGAGGGUAGUGGAAUUUCCUGUGUAGCGGUGAAAUGCGUAGAUAUAGGAAGGAACACCAGGGGCGAAGGCGACUACCUGGACUGAUACUGACACUGGGGUGCGAAAGCGUGGGGAGCAAACAGGAUUAGAAACCCCGGUAGUCC